rnacentral:rRNA from 1 species
CCUACGGGUGGCAGUAGUGAGGAAUAUUGGUCAAUGGGCGUAAGCCUGAACCAGCCAAGUCGCGUGAGGGAUGAAGGUUCUAUGGAUCGUAAACCUCUUUUAUAAGGGAAUAAAGUGUGGGACGUGUCCUAUUUUGUAUGUACCUUAUGAAUAAGGAUCGGCUAACUCCGUGCCAGCAGCCGCGGUAAUACGGAGGAUCCGAGCGUAUUUCGGAUUUAUUGGGUUUAAAGGGUGCGUUGGCGGCCUUUUAAGUCAGCGGUGAAAGUCUGUGGCUCAACCAUAGAAUUGCCGUUAAAACUGGUGGGCUUGAGUAUGUUUGAGGCAGGCGGAAUGCGUGGUGUAGCGGUGAAAUGCUUAGAGAUCACGCAGAACCCCGAUUGCGAAGGCAGCCUGCCAAGCCAUGACUGACGCUGAUGCACGAAAGCGUGGGGAUCAAACAGGAUUAGAUACCCUGGUAGUC